AUGAUCGCGCUUCUGCAGCAAUGUUUCUCUAUCAAUGUACCGUAUUCGGCCGCCGCCGCCGCUCACCCCGGUGCGGUGGGCCGGUUCCUCCUCCUCCUCCUCCUCCUAUCCGGCGCUCCGUCCCGCAGGUCCAGGCCGAGGAUCGGGCCUCCGUCCGUGGCGUCUCCGUGCGCGCUCCACCGCGUGUCCCCGGACUCCGUCCCCGAGCUCGGCUCCCUCCGGCCCCGCGAAAGCUGCAACGGGCCGGAUGCAGCGUGUGAGUGCUCUUCAUCCCUUCCGUCAGCUGUGUGCACACUCACUUUAAAGGUGUCUUCUGUCUUCAUUUGGCGGAAAGUUCCGGACUCCAUCACAGCAAAAACAAUGUCAUGGAUCAGCGAGUCUGUCUCUUCCCCCAAAGCACUUGUACUCUGAAUGAUGCUCACAUCCAGUUUUCUGCUAUUAAUCACCCACAAUCCAUCAAGCUGCAGCUUCCCUGAUGGGAAACAAACGCACACGUCCAGGCGCUGAAGACAAGAAAUCUCGUUUUUGUUAAAAUAUUUCUCACGCGAAACGUUCUCUCGUGACAAUUCUCCAAAAAAGCUGCACGAUGAAAAGACGGAGUGCUGGAAACGGACAUUUAUACUCUGCACAAACGUUAGAAGGGUGCUGCUCUGAACUGAUUUGGGACGGGGGGAGCAUUUUGGUUCAUUUCCAAAUGUAGAAAGCAAGAUUCGUGAAUGGAGAUUAAAAAUGUCUUUCUUUUUCUAAGGACGCAAGGCCAUCAUAUCCCCGCUGAUGUCUAAGAGAAAAUAUUGAGUGUUGAUUGAGAAACUACAGACUUUGUCCAUAAUGCUAUACCUUGUAGUAUGUACUAUGGGGGGGGGCUAAAGGAACAAAUAUGGGUAACAUCCAACUUGUAAUGUAUGUGCAUUCUUUGAUUUUUCUAAUAAGUAUAUGUAUAUAUAUGUAUGUAUAUACACACACAUAUACACUGUAUAUAUAUAUAAGUGGUGAAACCAUGGUAUUUUUCUCAUUUUCCACAUUUUCAGGCUUUAGAGCCAUUUCCACGGAACACAGUGGCCAUCAGUCUGGCACAACGGUCGUGGUCCCUGCUACGAUUUCAUACUCUUGCUACAGGAAGUGGUGAGAAGAGGAAGCAGUGGUCGGGGGAAGGGCGAUCGGCAGGGCUCCAGGCGGAUGACAGCAGCUGUUUACUGCCGCUGACAUGAUAUGUGUUUGUCAGCAUUUCGUCGGGUGACCAUCUGCUCGUUUGUUUCCUCCGCCGUCCCGCCGUUCACGUGGCCUCAGUUAGCGACCCUUCCCUUUUUGUGUCUUCGAGGAUAAGUCACACCCUCGUUGCUUAUCGGCCUCAUUGCUCACUUGCCCCCAUUGUGGCCCAGAAAUAAUUUUAUCUUCUUUAUAACAUGAAGUGCUCACGAGUCUGGGUGGACGUGAUAGUCCUUUUGUAACGCUUCGUACACAAAUUGACCAAAAUGAUCAUAUGCAUUUCUGAUUCCAGUGUCAGCAGUCAUGCAUUAACACAGGUGUUUUAUUGAUCUAUUAGAUGAGUAAAUCUAUGGAUGACAGCAGCGAGUGACACAUGACGCUGUAUAAAUAAUGUGUGGAACGUGGACUCUGCUGGGUGGCUGGAACACAUGGAGCGAUGGAGAGUUUUGUGACAGUUGAGGCGGAGGUGACGAAGAGGAAGCAUGGGUAAAAUACAGCUCCCCGAAGAGUCGGUCUGUGAACCCAAAGUGCACUUUGAGCAGUUGUUUAUUUGGAUGUGGACGGCAGAGGGCACCACGCUGCCGCAGUUAUCCCCGCUAAGGCUCGGCCCCCUCUGCAGUCACUGUAAAGGCUGCACAGUAUUUCUAAUAUUACCAUCAUAAGUAAGUCGUCUGCUUCUUAAAUAUGUCUACCGAGUUACAAAAACGACGACUAUGACUAUAAAAAUAAAACGUGCCAUUUCUUCA
ensembl:lncRNA